rnacentral:lncRNA from 1 species
UUCAUGUAAAGCACACGAACCCAUGGGCCAAUAGCGAAGAUCUCUUUAUCCAAAAAAGGGAUUUCUUCAGAAAAGAUAGACGGAGAAUCACACAAACGCCACAAGCAAAAACAUCUCAACCAAUCACAUGCAUCCAACUCAGCUCCUUCGCUCCGUCUCACCUUAUCCAACCCCCCACUUGACAUAACCACCACUAAUCUAUCUCCCUCUUCCAGAAUCUAAAAACCAACUAUCCACACUGACAAAAUCAUUUCACGUCCAUCUCCGCUUCUCCAUUAGACACUCACACACACUCACCCUGAAAGAAAAGAAGAAAAGGAAAAAGAAGAUGUCUCUGACAAUUCCAACAAAUCUUUCAAAACCCCUAUUGAAGCCAAGAUCAAACUCUCAGUUGAGCCAUGCAAAAUUAUCGAAACAAAUGAUCACGUGCUCUUCUUCUGCUGGUUCUGAAGAGACUUCCUCUUCUUCUGGCAAGGCCGCCAAGCCGCUCCAGGCUUUCUCAGCAGCCCUUGCGCUUUCCUCAAUUCUGCUAUCAGCCCCACAGCCCGCAGUUGCCGACAUCAGCGGCCUCACCCCCUGCAAAGAGUCCAAACAAUUCGCCAAGCGCGAGAAGCAGCAG